GACGAACGCUGGCGGCGUGCUUAACACAUGCAAGUCGAGCGGUAAGGCCCUUUCGGGGGUACGACGAGCGGCGAACGGGUGAGUAACACGUGGGUGACCUGCCCUUACGCUCUGGGAUAAGCCUGGGAAACUGGGUCUAAUACCGGAUAUGACUCCAUGACGCAUGUUGGUGGGGUGGAAAGCCUUGUGCGGCUAGGGAUGGGCCCGCGGCCUAUCAGCUUGUUGGUGGGGUGAUGGCCUACCAAGGCGACGACGGGUAGCCGGCCUGAGAGGGCGACCGGCCACACUGGGACUGAGACACGGCCCAGACUCCUACGGGAGGCAGCAGUGGGGAAUCUUGCGCAAUGGGCGAAAGCCUGACGCAGCGACGCCGCGUGGGGA
rnacentral:rRNA from 1 species